UCCUGUCCCCACUGCUCCCAGGUACUGGCUGAUGGCAUUCUCUCCCACGCUAAAGGCGGCGCUGCUGCUGCUGUCGACACUGACAGCGACGUGGGUAACUGAUCUAACCGCGGCUAAUCCGGUGAGGAUUUCCAGUCACAGCAAAUCUCCCGUUGAUGGAUUAUAUUUACGCGAUGACCCCGACGCCCACACCGCCCGCGAGGAGGUCACACACACGCCCAUGCGAGGGCCAGUCAUCACUCCUCCUCCACAUCUCAAUUUCUCAACUCCUGCGCCAAAGAAGGGGUCAACUUUAAGUGUGAUCAAGUUCAUGGAACAGUUUGGCUACGUCCAAAAGAGUGACAAUGUUUCCGGAGCGCUCUACACGGAACAGUCUCUCGAGGAAUAUAUCAUGAAACUGCAGAAGUUCGGCAACAUUCCCCAAACUGGAGUUGUCGAUAAUGCCACUUUGGAGCUGAUAGCCACCCCUCGCUGCGGCCGCCCUGAUCUAGAGACCAGCGUCCCGAAGGACUCCGAGGACCACAGGGAACCCCAUGAACACAUCCGGCGCAAGCGAUACAUUGUAGGGGGACUUGGCUGGGAGAAGAGACGAUUAACUUACCACUUGGCCAACUGGUCUCCGCAGCUAAAGUCGAAGGAGAAUGUGCAGAAGGAGUUACGGAAGGCCUUCGACGCCUGGAGUGUCUACUCCCAUCUACAGUUCUCAGAGGUCGACACGGGUGACGCCGACAUUAUCAUCUACUUCGCCAGUUACGAUCACUAUGAUGGGUACCCUUUCGACGGGCCGAGUGGCAUCUUGGCCCACGCCUACUACCCCUAUGAGUUCGGAUCGUACGGCGGAGACGUCCACUUUGACGAGAGUGAAAAAUGGAACAUCAGACCCAAAGACGAGUAUUCAGGAUUGGACUUCUUCACGGUGGCCGUACACGAGAUUGGUCACUCGCUAGGCCUGGCCCAUUCUCCUGUGUCUGGGUCCAUCAUGUUCCCGUACUACAAGGGCUACACCAAGCACUUCGCUCUAGACUAUGACGACGUCAUGGCCAUGUGGGAGCUCUAUAUAAAACGUAAACUUGACGGCGACGACGAAUACUUCAACUCCACCACGACGACCACCACGACCACCCCGGCCUACCCAGACGACGACCACCAGGCCGACGCCGCCGGCGACGACAACCCCGAGGAGGGAGAUGGAGCCCACGGGAGGAAAGAGGACGAGGAGGAAGACUUCUACGCGGAAGACAGGAAGAGAAGAGAGGAAGAAGAGAAACGCCGCGAGGAAGAUCGAAAGAGAGAAGAGGAAGACGAGGCGGAAAGACGGCGUUCGGAGGAGGACAUCAAAAGGAGGGAGGAAGAGACCAGACGAAGAGAAGAGGAAGCAAGGAGGAGAUGGGAGGAAGAAUGGGAAGCUAGAGGAGGAGAGGAGCCGGAGGACACACCUCCCGGGUCCGAGCCCCGGCUCCCUAACCUCUGUCACGGCAGCUACGACGCCAUGGCUCUUCUUAGACAAGAACUCUUUAUCUUUAAGGAUCAGUACGUGUGGCGAUACAGUGAGCGGCGGCGCCUGAGGGAUGGAUACCCGACCCUCAUCCGUAACCUCUUCCCGGCCCUGCCGUCUUUCUUGAAGAAAAUCAACGCUGUCUACGAGAGACCGUCUGACAGCAACAUUAUCUUCUUUAUAGGAAAAUAUUACUACGUCCACGAUGGGGACCGCCUAGUGGAGGGGUCGCCGCGCCCCCUAACCUCUCUGGGUCUUCCGGAACUACAGACCAGCAUCGACGCUGCUUUCCACUGGCCUAGAGCCGAUAAGACCUACUUCUUCAGCAAAAAUUGGUAUUUUCGGUACAAUGAGAAGACUCGACAAAUGGACCCCGGCUACCCGAAGGACAUUAGCAAGUGGAACGGCCUUCCUAGCAACCUGGACGCUGCCUUCACCUUCACUGAUGGUCUUUCAUACUUCAUCAGAGGUUAUCAGUACUGGAAGUACGACAACGUCCGCAUCGAGCCGUACUCCGAGUACCCUAAGGACGCCCCAGAGUACUGGGCCGGUUGUCCACCCGGCGACCUCAAUUAGUGCUGUGUGGUACAGUCACACAGGUACAGGGAGGGAAGCUGUAGCUACACAGGUACAGGAACUGUAGCUACACAGGUACAGGAACUGUAGCUACACAGGUACAGGAGCUGUAGCUACACAGGUACAGGAGCUGUAGCUACACAGGUACAGGAGCUGUAGCUACACAGGUACAGGAACUGUAGCUACACAGGUACAGGAACUGUAGCUACACAGGUACAGGAACUGUAGCUACACAGGUACAGGAACUGUAGCCACACAGGUACAGGAACUGUAGCCACACAGGUACAGGAACUGUAGCUACACAGGUACAGGAACUGUAGCCACACAGGUACAGGAACUGUAGCCACACAGGUACAGGAACUGUAGCCACACAGGUACAGGAACUGUAGCCACACAGGUACAGGAACUGUAGCCACACAGGUACAGGAACUGUAGCUACACAGGUACAGGAACUGUAGCUACACAGGUACAGGAACUGUAGCCACACAGGUACAGGAACUGUAGCUACACAGGUACAGGAACUGUAGCUACACAGGUACAGGAACUGUAGCUACACAGGUACAGGAACUGUAGCUACACAGGUACAGGAACUGUAGCUACACAGGUACAGGAACUGUAGCCACACAGGUACAGGAACUGUAGCUACACAGGUACAGGAACUGAAGCUACACAGGUACAGGAACUGUAGCUACACAGGUACAUGAACUGUAGCUACACAGGUACAGGAACUGUAGCUACACAGGUACAGGAACUGUAGCUACACAGGUACAGGAACUGUAGCCACACAGGUACAGGAACUGUAUCCACACAGGUACAGGAACUGUAGCUACACAGGUACACGAGCUGUAGCUACACAGGUACAGGAACUGUAGCCACACAGGUACAGGAACUGUAGCCACACAGGUACAGGAACUGUAGCCACACAGGUACAGGAACUGUAGCCACACAGGUACAGGAACUGUAGCCACACAGGUACAGGAACUGUAGCCACACAGGUACAGGAACUGUAGCCACACAGGUACAGGAACUGUAGCCACACAGGUACAGGAACUGUAGCCACACAGGUACAGGAACUGUAGCCACACAGGUACAGGAACUGUAGCCACACAGGUACAGGAACUGUAGCCACACAGGUACAGGAACUGUAGCCACACAGGUACAGGAACUGUAUCCACACAGGUACAGGAACUGUAUCCACACAGGUACAGGGAGGGAAGCUGUAGCUACACAGGUACAGGAGCUGUAGCUACACAGGUACAGGAGCUGUAGCUACACAGGUACAGGAACUGUAGCUACACAGGUACAGGUGCUGUAGCUACACAGGUACAGGAACUGUAGCCAAACAGGUACAGGAGCUGUAGCUACACAGGUACAGGAGCUGUAGCUACACAGGUACAGGAACUGUAGCUACACAGGUACAGGAACUGUAGCUACACAGGUACAGGUGCUGUAGCUACACAGGUACAGGAACUGUAGCUACACAGGUACAGGAACUGUAGGGACCUCCUACCAUCCGGCUAGCAACAGGACCUACCAUCCGGCUAGCAGCAGGACCUCCUAUCAUCCGGCUAGCAACAGGACCUCCUAUCAUCCGGCUAGCAGCAGGACCUACCAUCCGGCUAGCAACAGGACCUACCAUCCGGCUAGCAGCAGGACCUAUCAUCCGGCUAGCAGCAGGACCUCCUAUCAUCCAGCUAGCAACAGGACCUCCUAUCAUCCGGCUAGCAACAGGACCUACCAUCCGGCUAGCAACAGGACCUCCUACCAUCCGGCUAGCAACAGGACCUACCAUCCGGCUAGCAGCAGGACCUACCAUCCGGCUAGCAAUAGGACCUACAAUCCGGCUAGCAACAGGACCUACCAUCCGGCUUGCAGCAGGCCCUACCAUCCGGCUAGCAGCAGGCCCUACCAUCCGGCUAGCAACAGGACCUACCAUCCGGCUAGCAGCAGGACCUACCAUCCGGCUAGCAGCAGGACCUACCAUCCGGCUAGCAACAGGACCUCCUAUCAUCCGGCUAGCAACAGGACCUACCAUCCGGCUAGCAACAGGACCUCCUACCAUCCGGCUAGCAACAGGACCUACCAUCCGGCUAGCAGCAGGACCUACCAUCCGGCUAGCAAUAGGACCUACAAUCCGGCUAGCAACAGGACCUACCAUCCGGCUAGCAGCAGGCCCUACCAUCCGGCUAGCAGCAGGCCCUACCAUCCGGCUAGCAGCAGGCCCUACCAUCCGGCUAGCAGCUAAACUUGCAUAGCAUCAGAAUGUCUACAAUAGACUGGUGCCCAAAUGCCCUAAUACGUACGAACCCCACGACGCCAUGCUGUAUACGAAGGUGUAUUACUGCUGUGUAUACACACCUCUCUGGGGGGUUAUACAACCGUGAUUUCUGUCGUGUAUACUUCGUUAUACUUCCCUGCAUAUCUGGGUUUAGCCUGGUGUUUGCUCUCUCUAAUGUUGUCUCAGUGUAUUAUGUAUUAUGUAUACUGUGUUUGUAUACUGGCAUCUUGUAUGUUGAUGUGUUUGCUACUCCUGUAUUUUAUACUAUUUCUGUAUGUUUGCCCUGUAUAUUCCUCCUUUAUGUUGUCGUGUAUACUCCUGUAUGUUGCUGUGUAUACUCCUGUAUGUUGCUGUGUAUACUCCUGUAUGUUGCUGUGUAUACUCCUGUAUGUUGCUGUGUAUACUCCUGUAUGUUGCUGUGUAUACUCCUGUAUGUUGCUGUGUAUACUCCUGUGGCUGUGUAUACUCCUGUUGCUGUGUAUACUCCUGUUGCUGUGUAUACUCCUGUUGCUGUGUAUACUCCUGUUGCUGUGUAUACUCAUGUUUGUUGCUGUGUAUACUCCUGUAUGUUGGUGUGUAUACUCAUGUAUGUUGGUGUGUAUACUCAUGUAUGUUGCUGUGUAUACUCAUGUAUGUUGCUGUGUAUACUCAUGUAUUUUGGUGUGUAUACUCAUGUGUGUUGCUGUGUAUACUCAUGUUGCUGUGUAUACUCAUGUUGCUGUGUAUACUCAUGUUUCUGUGUAUACUCAUGUAUGUUGCUGUGUAUACUCAUGUAUGUUGCUGUGUAUACUCAUGUAUGUUGCUGUGUAUACAUAUGUUGCUGUGUAUACUCAUGUAUGUUGCUGUGUAUACUUAUGUUGCUGUGUAUACUCCUGUAUGUUGCUGUGUAUACUCAUGUUGUUGUGUAUACUCAUGUUCAUGUGUAUACUCAUGUUUCUGUGUAUACUCCUGUAUGUUGCUGUGUAUACUCCUGUAUGUUGUUGUGUAUACUCAUGUUGCUGUGCAUACUCCUGUAUGUUGGUGUGUAUACUCAUGUAUGUUGCUGUGUAUACUCCUGUAUGUUGGUGUGUAUACUCAUGUAUUUUGGUGUGUAUACUCAUGUAUGUUGGUGUGUAUACUCAUGUAUGUUGGUGUGUAUACUCAUGUAUGUUGCUGUGUAUACUCAUGUAUGUUGCUGUGUAUACUCAUGUUUCUGUGUAUACUCAUGUAUGUUGCUGUGUAUACUCAUGUAUGUUGCUGUGUAUACUUAUGUUGCUGUGUAUACUCAUGUAUGUUGCUGUGUAUACUUAUGUUGCUGUGUAUACUCCUGUAUGUUGUUGUGUAUACUCAUGUUGUUGUGUAUACUCAUGUUUCUGUGUAUACUCAUGUUUCUGUGUAUACUCAUGUAUGUUGCUGUGUAUACUCAUGUAUGUUGUGUAUACUCCUGUAUGUCGCCAGCUCCUGUAUGUUCUGUUUUAUUAACAAAGUAUGACUGUAUUUGGGACUUAAGUCCACAAUAAAAUUUAUUAUUUUUAUUAA
rnacentral:misc_RNA from 1 species